rnacentral:rRNA from 1 species
GUGGAUUAGAUACCCGGGUAGUCCACGCCCUAAACGAUGUCUACUAGUUGUUGGGGAUUUCGAUCCUUAGUAACGCAGCUAACGCGUGAAGUAGACCGCCUGGGUAGUACGGUCGCAAGAUUAAAACUCAAAGGAAUUGACGGGGGCCCGCACAAGCGGUGGAUGAUGUGGAUUAAUUCGAUGCAACGCGAAAAACCUUACCUGGUCUUGACAUGUACGGAACCCUUUAGAGAUAGAGGGGUGCCUUCGGGAGCCGUAACACAGGUGCUGCACGGCCGUCGCCAGCU